rnacentral:rRNA from 1 species
UACGAAGGGGGCUAGCGUUGCUCGGAAUUACUGGGCGUAAAGGGCGCGUAGGCGGCCACCGCAAGUCGACUGUGAAAUCUCCGGGCCUUAACCCGGAAAGGUCAGCCGAUACUGCGGGGUCUAGAGUGCAGAAGGGGCAACUGGAAUUCUCGGUGUAGCGGUGAAAUGCGUAGAUAUCGAGAGGAACACCUGCGGCGAAGGCGGGUUGCUGGGCUGACACUGACGCUGAGGCGCGAAAGCUAGGGGAGCGAACGGG